UGGGGGAUUGUCUAAUGGUAGGACGCCAGACUCUGGAUCUGGUAGUGGAGGUUCGAGUCCUCCUCCCCCAGCCA
rnacentral:tRNA from 1 species